rnacentral:rRNA from 1 species
UACGUAGGUGGCAAGCGUUGUCCGGAUUUACUGGGCGUAAAGAGCGCGCAGGCGGUUGGAUAAGUCGAAUGUGAAAGCCCCCGGCUCAACUGGGGAGGGUCAUUCGAUACUGUCCGACUCGAAGGCAGGAGAGGGAAGCGGAAUUCCCGGUGUAGUGGUGAAAUGCGUAGAUAUCGGGAGGAACACCAGUGGCGAAGGCGGCUUCUGGCCUGUUCUUGACGCUGAGGCGCGAAAGCCAGGGGAGCAAAGCGGGG